rnacentral:rRNA from 1 species
ACAUGCCUACAACAUAGCAUUAAUGCACUAGAUCGUAUUAGAACUUCACAGUUAAGAGCACUCGGGAUAGAGUAGUACUGGGAUGGGUGAUCGCUCGAGAAGUCCUAGUAUUUUACAUGCC